GACAGAGGGGGCAAGCGUUGCUCGGAAUCACUGGGCGUAAAGGGCGCGUAGGCGGGAUGGCAAGUCGGUCGUGAAAUCCUUCGGCUCAACCGAAGAACGUCGGCCGAUACUGCCGUUCUUGAGGGAUGCAGAGGAGAUUGGAAUUCCCGGUGUAGCGGUGAAAUGUGUAGAGAUCGGGAGGAACACCGGUGGCGAAGGCGGGUCUCUGGGGCAUCUCCUGACGCUGAGGCGCGAAAG
rnacentral:rRNA from 1 species